rnacentral:rRNA from 1 species
AUUGAACGCUGGCGGCAGGCCUAACACAUGCAAGUCGAACGAGUGGCGGACGGGUGAGUAAUGUCUGGGAAACUGCCCGAUGGAGGGGGAUAACUACUGGAAACGGUAGCUAAUACCGCAUACCAUCAGAUGAACCCAUAUGGGAUUAGCUUGUAGGUGAGGUAACGGCUCACCUAGGCGACGAUCCCUAGCUGGUCUGAGAGGAUGAUCAGCCACACUGGGACUGAGACACGGCCCAGACUCCUACGGGAGGCAGCAGUGGGGAAUAUUGCACAAUGGGCGCAAGCCUGAUACAGCCAUGCCGCGUGUAUGAAGAAGGCCUUAGGGUUGUAAAGUACUUUCAGCGGGGAGGCGUUACCCGCAGAAGAAGCACCGGCUAACUCCGUGCCAGCAGCCGCGGUAAUAC